AGUUUGGGUAAGGGAGUUACUUUCAAUAGAGCGAAGAAUGAUAAGCUUCCCUCGUGACCAAGGUUGGAGCAAAGCUCGAAAAGCUUCAACUUUACUUUCUCAUAUAUUCGUAUGUUGGUAGUGAUCCACUGCACUUGAGACUCGUUUUCGUUCCCUUUGCGUUCGACUGUACGCAAAGCUUGCGGCAAAAGUUUACGUUAAGUACAUAGGAAGCAGACAGCCAACUUCCAGUAGCAAGUCCACUAACGGAUGCACAUCGGAACAUGCACUAAACUAGCAGCAAAGGGAGAGAGAGAAAGAGAGACUAUGCGAGCAUGAGAACCAUAGAGCGUUUGGCUCAUAAAGACAGCCCAAAUUUGGCGCCAAACGAUCCGCACGUCUCCCCCCCCCCCCUCGGACUGAUGCACGAAACGCAGAAGGGUGCCCGAAGAAGAAGGACCAUCGCCACCAAGGACGGCCGGGGGCAACCGCACCCCUGGCUGGGACCAAAACUGUGACGGUGUGCAGUUGGCAUGUAACGCAUUUCUGUGCCGCCCAUUUAACCAUUAAAUCUAGUGGCAAAUCGGCCAGCCAGUGACCACCACUUGCUUGCCUGCCUGCCUGUCUGCUGCCCAUUACGCAUCACCGUAACCACCGUGGCCGGACGUAUAGGUAAUAAAAUUGGUUUUAUAACGCUUUAUGAUCACACAUUAUCGCCAUUUAAGCGCACGCUCGACCCGAAGGAAUUUAUUUUCAUACGUGUGACAAUCGGGGGUUUUU